UGUGGUUUUAGAACAGCCUACGAAAUGGUUUAUGACUGUAUGGCCAAUUCACGAUAGGAAGAAAAAAACAUUGCCCCAGUAUUAUGGGUCAUGUCUUCUGUUUGUGCUAGAUACAAUGUGUUUUUGCUGUAGUAAUGGUGCAACCAUGACAGUAAGGCUCGCUUUUAUCUGUAGGGCACGCUAAGACAAUAGUACAGCGAAGCCCAAUCAUUACAACUGAUCUGGCUGAUUAUGUUUCUAGGCACAUGGUGCUCCCACAAUGUCAGGUUGCACAGCAAAAUAUUUUGGUGUAUGGGACCAAAACGGACACACUUUUUAGAGCCCUGAGUACUGGGUUUCCUCUAGCUUUCAUAGUCAGAUGCCACAGUCAAAAUUGGAUGCUACAAUUAGCUUUUUGGACAUAGGUUAGGUUUUAAAUCACAUUUUUAAGAAGAGUAACUGUAGAACUUGUCAGGGUUCAUCUUCAAGGUUUUAUGGCAGACUGCACCUAUUGGUGCAUUGCCGCCACCUAAAUGACCCUAAUUCAGACCUGGGACACCAGGUGAGUGCAAUUAACUACCAGGUAGAAACAAAACCCAGAAGUGUUUCGGACCUCCAGGACCGGAAUUGGGCAGCCAUGAUAGUAGCCUAUCCCUUACACACAUGAGUAGCCCCACUUACCAAUCCAUGAAAAAGACAAUGGGGCCAUACUUGUGAACAUAAGCAACCAUCUAGGGUUGCCUACCCCUGCUUAGCCCAAUGCACCAAAUUAUUAGACGAUUUUUAAGGACAUUAUUGAACUUAUUUGUUGUCUGUUAUCAACAUAUGGGAAUAAUAGGCAUUUGAUCUAUGAACAUGUAUUUUUGAACAGAGUAGCUAUUUUCAUUAGCUAUAGAAAUCCACGUAAAUGCUGAGGAUAGAGAUUUUGCCAGUGCCAACACCCCCCUCAAAAGUUUACGAUACCAAAAUGAGUGCAUUCACAAACAUGUAAAGAGGAGAAGCACAGUUGGGGGGAAUACAUGUACAAUGGAUCUCCAUAUUAAAGAAAUCCACUGGAACAUAUUCUGUAGGAGAGCUGGGAGAUCACGUUAAAGUGAUUCUGGCUAAUAAAGUGUAUUUACUGGCAGUGAACUGCUCAGGUGUCAGACUGUCAUUCCCACACUGCUCCGCCUCCACAAAGCAGGUAGUAUCUCUCCAAAUACCGCGCUUUAACAGAGUUGUUGGGUAUUUUUUGUUUUUAUAUAAACAGGCUAGCCGUUUAUGUUCUGAAAAUGGUUUACAUUUCUCCCCUCUACAUUUUCUGAUAUAAAACUGCCUAUCAUACCCAUAUGUUAAGAACAGACAACGAAUAUGUAGUGAAAUAUUGUUGUUGAUUGAUGUUGUCUUGUUAUGUUAAGGGUGAGACUGCAUCGCUACAUCUUCCACAACCUUCUAAAGUAGAAUAGUUCUUCUUUUCUUUUCAGAUGGCUGUUUAUCCCAUCUUCCUGUUUUAUAAUCUGAUGCUAAGUUGCAGAAUAUAUUGUCUGCACAGAGCGUCCCAGCAGUGUAUUGGCGUGCUCUUUUCUGCUUGUAUUAAUAGUCUCUCCCCUUUAACUGUCUUAAUUGCCCCCUUGUUACGACGUCCAAUAAUCAGGGAUCGAGGUUGUUGGAGAGGAUCAGCUUGAGCAAAGUCAGGUGUAGAAUCACUGAUCAACAAAUUGUAUAACCUGGCAAAUAUUAUGCUUUGUGCUAUUAAGAUUCAUAUGCUACCCCUACGCUGGUUUAGGUGACCCCCACCCCACCACCAAACACUCACACACAACCAGACAUUGAAUGGUUGAUUAGAGACAGCUUGCAUAAAUUAAAGAGUGUUUCCAAUGAUUUUUCCCCUGCUUGAUAAAGAUAGAAAUACAAACCGUCUGGCUUUAGCCAUGUCAUCUGAUGUUACAAGCUGCAAAAGCUAUGCAUUUUGAGCUGGAGAGCUAAUUUCACUAAAUGGUUGCUUACGUUUGCAAGUAUGAGAGAGAGAUGUUUGAACUUGUGAUUUAUAUUCUUUGUUUAUGCAAAGUAGGUUGGUUUGUUUCAAGUGCUGUAGUUGUUUUUGUUCAAGGGUAAGAACCAUACAUUUUUACUCACAGAAGUAACAACACAGUGUGGUCAAAGACCAACUUGGGUGAAGUCACUAUCUGGUUACCUUUAAGUACAAACAGUUAUAUGUAACUGCAUAUAACAUUCUUUGAUAACUGGUUAGACUUGGUUAUGUAUUUCCAAAACGUUGGUUUACUUUAAUGUAGCUGUAAACUAGGUAAAAUUCCCGACGGCUAGUAUUACCGUUUUCAAAUUUUUAUUAUCAUUAAAACCGUGUUUGAAAAACUCACGGUAAAUACUGUCCAGCACCAACCAAAGUUAGCAACAGUCUGAUACAGGCGCAGCAUGCAACCUGGGUUUUGUUUUGUGUGUGAACAUGGCGGAAGGCGGUGACGGCGCUCUGGAGAUUUUUCAGCCUUCUAAAGAGGACCAAAUCUGAAGUGUGGUCGUAUUUUGGGUUUUACAAGAGUGAAACGUAAUUGAAGAUGGUCACCCUGUCUCCAGAACAGAAAGAAAAACGCUUCGAACGGGGGCAACACUUCAAAUCUCUUGAGUCAUCUUCGUGACCACCACCUUCUACUUUACAGCGAAUGCAAGAGUGGGCGUGCAGCAAACCCUGACCUCUGGACCAGUGAAAGCGGGGGUGGUCAACACAAUCCAUUACCACACCCCAGACUGGCAACUGGAAUCAAACUGCCUGGAAACGCAUUUCUUCCCAGAAGAUCACUCGGCUCAGAAGAUCAGAGAGUUCUUUGAGAAUAUGCUGGAAGAGUGGGGGAUAAGCAAGAAAGACCUGGUCUGCAUAACCACAGAAAACGCAACAAACAUGACCAAGGCUUUUGAAGAGUUCCCAGAUCUGUGGCUUGGGUGUUUUGACCAUAAUUUGAACUUGGCCAUCUCAAAGGCUCUGAAAAUUCAGAGAGUUGACACAGCAGUCAAGGCCUGCCGUCAUCUGGUCCGCGGCUUCUCAAGGAGCUGGAAGAGAAGGCAAGAACUGUGAGAAAAGCAAGAUGCCCUCAACGUGCCACAGAAGGCUCUGAUCCAUGAUGUGGUGACCGGAUGGGGAUCUACACACAAGAUGCUUGAGCGUUUCCUCAGCCAACAGCAGCCGGUCUGUGUGACACUGGCUGGGGAAAGAGGAACAUGGCAUCUGAUGCCCAAAGAUGCUGACAUAAGUGUCAUGGAGCAACUGUGCCAGCUCCUUGAACCUCUGAGAAAGUUUACAGAUGCACUUGCCUCAGAGACAUGAGUGACAUUGUCAGCCAUCAAGCCUGUCCUGGACCACAUCACCUGUGAUGUUCUGGUGGAAAAGGAUACGGAGCCAUUCCUGACCAAGGAGAUGAAAAGGAUAAUGAGAGAAGACCUUAACAACAGAUACACAGAGAAGGCAAAGAGAGUCAUCCACAUGGCUUGUUUCAUUGACCCCGACUUCAAAAGGAGCUUUUUAGAUAAGCCUGAAGCUGUAAAAGUUGACACUGACAGCUGUGUCCAGGGGGCGCUGAAGCUGGUAGCUACACAAGUCAGGGAAUAACCACAAAGCACCAGCAUCACCUCCACCACCAACGCCCUCACAGUGGCAUCAGAGGGGAAAGGCCUGUCUGGGUCGCUGAGAAAGACUACUACUACUACUAUUAUUACUACUAGUACUACUACAACUAGUACUACUACUACUACUAGUACUAACACCACCACUACCUACUAGUACUAACACCACCAUGUCCUUUUCUAGUUAGUGCUGUUUUUAUUAUCCUCAAUAGAAUUUGUGUUCAAGCAUAAUCCAAAUGAACACACCUACGCACAUGGAAGGUCAAACAUGGUAACUGCAGGAAGAUUAUUUCGCUAUGACAAAGCUGAAAAUAUAGUACCACUGACUCAACAUUGCCUUCAGGGAAACUACAUUCAUGGUCAACUUAAGAGAUCAAUGUAUUUUCUACAAUUAUGAUUUCAGAAAUCUUAGCUUAUUCAACUAUAUGAAUGCUGAAGUUUUGGAACAUACACUAGUUUAUGUAUUGAUCUUGUCUGCAAAAUUGCAGUUUGGUAAUAUUAACAUGCUUUUGGAAUAUUGUCAAAGGACCCUUUCAAAUAAACAUUUAUUCUCAUCAUUCUCUAUGGAAUAUUUUAGAGCUUCAACAAAAAGGCAUCAAUUAUGACCUAAAUGAUCAGCAGUGACUAAAUGUAUGACAUAUUGUCUAAUUAAAGAUCGGGAAAUCCAUGGAAAGUGUGAAAUGCAUUUCUGCUAAUCAAGACCUCCUGAAUGAAACCACAUCUUGAUGAUGCUUCACCUCCCACCUCCCACACACCUAAACACUGCAGGGACAUUUCUCUGAAAAUGGCCUUUCGUCUUCAUUUUUUAUUUUUUUUAUUUACCUUUUAUUUAACUAGGCAAGUCAGUUAAUAAUUUGUUCUCAUUUACUUAACUAGGCAAGUCAGUUAAUUUGUUCUCAUUUACAGCCUACCGGGGAACAGUGGGUUAACUGCCUUGUUUAGGAGCAGAACGACAGAUCUGUACCUUGUCAGAACGAGGAUUCGAUCCCAGCAACCUUUUGGUUACUGACCCAACGCUCUAACCACUAGGCUACCUGCUGCCCCAAAUUCAAAACGGAACCAUUUCCACUUUUCCAGAAAAUCUGUCAGUAGGCUUAUUGUACUUAUCACCGAUGUAUGGAAUUAUUCCCCUGACUCUAACCAUUCAUUUUUUGUCUGUGUAUGAGUUAUUGGACAUACAUUCAAAAUUAUUGCCUUUCAGCUCAGUAUCAAAGCAAAUAUAAUUCACAAUUGACUCAAAAGAAUGCCUGUGGAUUUCAAACAAAGACUAAAUUAACAGAGAAUAAGGGAAAGGAACACACGAGAGAUAAGAGAGAGCAAUCAGAGAGGGAGAAGUCAAACUUUUCUGAGUAAUGUUUACGUUUAAUUUCUGAUUGUUUAUUUCACUUUUGUUUAUCUAUUGUACUUGCUUCACAUAUGUAAACAUGUCUCCUGUGCCAAUAAAGCCCUUUGAAUUGAAAUCAGAGCCAGAGAGAGAGAUGCGAGAGGAGAGAAAGCCAGAGAGUGAGAGCUCGAGAGAGGAAGAGAUUGGUUACGUGAGGGGCAUAUUGAAACUAUAAAAACGGUUUCAAGUCAAACUCCUCUUUAAGGUCAAGAGGAGACAGUGUGUUGAGCCUGUCGAUCCAGAAAGAUUUCCUUUGAAGAAGUUUCCUCUCAAGGGUCGAAACGUUAUAAAUAAAUAUCACCUGGGAGCUUGA